rnacentral:rRNA from 1 species
UACGUAGGAGGCAAGCGUUGUCCGGAAUUACUGGGCGUAAAGCGCGUGUAGGUGGUGGGACAAGUCUGCUGUGAAAGCGCCUGGCUUAACCGGGCGAGGUCGGCGGAAACUGUCCGACUCGAGGACGGUAGAGGGGGGUGGAAUUCCCGGUGUAGUGGUGAAAUGCGUAGAGAUCGGGAGGAACACCUGUGGCGAAGGCGGCCCCCUGGGCCGGCCCUGACACUGAUGCGCGACAGCAUGGGGAGCAAACAGG